CCAGGACGCCAGUUUUGGCGGAGCCAUCCUUGGGAUACCACCCUUGUAGUACUGGGACUCUAACCAUAGGCCAUGAAUCUGGGCUUGGGACACUGUCAGGUGGGCAGUUUGACUGGGGCGGUCGCCUCCCAAAAGGUAACGGAGGCGCUCAAAGGUUCUCUCAGUACGGUCGGAAAUCGUACGUAGAGUGUAAAGGCAAAAGAGAGCUUGAUUGCAAGACAUACAGGUCGAGCAAGGAUGAAAAUCGGACUUAG
rnacentral:rRNA from 1 species